UUCUUAAAAAGUUCCUAACUUCCUGUUUCAUUGACCAAUCAGAUUGUUCAAAAAUAAAAUAUAAAAUUUGAUUGGUCAGUGAAACAGGAAGUUAGGAAUUUUUUAAGG
rnacentral:miRNA from 1 species